AUUGAACGCUGGCGGCAGGCCUAACACAUGCAAGUCGAACGGUAACAGGAAGAAGCUUGCUUCUUUGCUGACGAGUGGCGGACGGGUGAGUAAUGUCUGGGAAACUGCCUGAUGGAGGGGGAUAACUACUGGAAACGGUAGCUAAUACCGCAUAACGUCGCAAGACCAAAGAGGGGGACCUUCGGGCCUCUUGCCAUCGGAUGUGCCCAGAUGGGAUUAGCUAGUAGGUGGGGUAACGGCUCACCUAGGCGACGAUCCCUAGCUGGUCUGAGAGGAUGACCAGCCACACUGGAACUGAGACACGGUCCAGACUCCUACGGGAGGCAGCAGUGGGGAAUAUUGCACAAUGGGCGCAAGCCUGAUGCAGCCAUGCCGCGUGUAUGAAGAAGGCCUUCGGGUUGUAAAGUACUUUCAGUGGGGAGGAAGGGAGUAAAGUUAAUACCUUUGCUCAUUGACGUUACCCGCAGAAGAAGCACCGGCUAACUCCGUG
rnacentral:rRNA from 1 species